rnacentral:lncRNA from 1 species
GCCAAACCUGCUCCGGCGUGAUUAGGAUCACCAGUGACACGCUUAAAAUACUUUUAGGACCCAGAUCUGCAUUUUCAUACUAUUAUGACCUAGAUAACACCAUACAAAUACUCUCAGGACCUGCCGUGCAUUUAACUCUUAUUAAUAUAUCGAUGAACCUCUUCGGAAAAAAAAAAUUAGAACUUGAUAUGGAACCUUUUAUAACCAUGCGUCCUGCCUACCGCAGCCCAUACAGAGACUAGACGACCAAAUCAAGACGUCCGUCCAAAAGAUAAAAAAGCUACACAUGUAUUAAUGUCGAAACAUAGAGCUAAGUUGUCAACCGACAGACAAAAUAAUUAUUAAUGAUUAAAUUUGCAUCAGGUUAUGGAUACGGUAUUUCUGUAUACUUGCGUUAGGAGUAGUUACGGUUUUAAAGAGACUGACAAUACGACUCCGGUUCUGGUCAUCAUCUAUACGCUCCGUGUAAUAACACCACGUACGCUGAGACUGACACUCCACCGGGCGUCAACUUCAUCGCGCC